ACCUGGUUGUGUUUGUGGGACGAGGCGAGUUCAACGUCUGCUCACAGCGCCAUCUUGACGAGAACUCCCCAGACUUUCUCUUUUUAAGUGCAAUUUGUCUGUGCUUCCUCUGAGACUUCUUUUCUAGCUUAUGCCUCUCACUCCUGUUCCCCACAUUUAUAAGCUUGCAGGGGCAGCAGCAGAUGUGUUCAAACUUGGUGUUUAUGUCUCUCUUUACAGGUAACUUGAGGAUUUGUUGAUCAGAUGUGGUUAUAUUUGUGAUCCUUGUUGAUGUCUUUUUGCAAGACGUAGGAGAUGUUUGGGAAGAUUUGGAAGAAGACAGCCACCAUUAUGCUUCAAACUUCUACUCCUCUGCUCAGGAUUAUGACCACUGAAAUACUUUAUCUUCUCUUCCUCCGGCUUUAUGGUUGAGAGAUUUUAUACUGCUUAUCAGCGUUGGUUCAGGUUCAUAUGACCAGCCACAUUAAGGAAAAGAACAAACUGAAACCGGAAGAGAGGCGUUAGAAGUGUUGGAAAAUCACAAGAGUCGCUCUGCCCUUUUCGCAGACAGAUAAAAAAUUUUUUGGAAGGAUAAUUUGUCGACAUAUUGAUUCAUUGAAAUAUUAAUAUUGAAAAGGUAAUUCAUUUAAUAUUAAUGAAUUAAUUAUUUUUCCCCUCGCUCCACAACUCAUUUCAAGGUAGCUUGGAUCUUUAAUUUCUUGUGUCCAGGCUUUUGGAAUGCACAGAUCUUUCAAGUCUCAGUUCUUUGAAAAGUUCUUUGUAAAGCUUAAGUCCUUUGCAGAGGAGACGGAGGCUGCCUCUGAGGCACCGUAAGAAGUGAAGAGACGUUCCUAGGGGCUCCAAAGAACUCCAUGUCUGACGUUCCAAAGGGCGCAGAGGUCUGUGAGUUUGGAGAGUGGUGUGGGACUGUGCUGUCUCCCACCGCAUCCCCAGUGGGUGGUCAGACCUCAGUGGUGUGAGUCUGUAGGGCACCUAUUGAGAAUCAGCACUGGGCACCUGGCGUUCUAGACACACCAAAGGCGACAGUGUGUUCCAAAACACGCAGGGCCACAAAACUCAAAGAGACCCAACAGGAAAGAAAAUGAGGGUGUCUUGUCAAUGAUCAAGACUGUUCCCCGAAGUUGUGACCCUUCCUAAGCCCGAAGACCUUAAGGUGGCCCUGUGAAAAGGAACCGAUGCCCA
rnacentral:lncRNA from 1 species